rnacentral:misc_RNA from 1 species
GGUGAAGAACGUAGCGAAAUGCGAUAAGUAGUGUGAAUUGCAGAAUUCAGUGAAUCAUCGAAUCUUUGAACGCACAUUGCGCCCCUCGGUAUUCCGUGGGGCAUGCCUGUUCGAGCGUCAUUUAACCCCUCAAGCCUAGCUUGGUAUUGGGUGCUUGUCCCGCCUCUCGCGCGGCGACUCACCUCAAAGUCAUUGGCAGCCCGCAUCUCGCCGGCCGUGAGCGCAGCACAGACGCGCUCUUGGCAACGACGGAUCGGCUCUCCAAAAGCUUAUUUCAACCACUGACCUCGGAUCAGGUAGGGAUACCCGCUGAACUUAAGCAUAUCAAUAAGCGGAGGA